rnacentral:rRNA from 1 species
GACGAACGCUGGCGGCGUGCUUAACACAUGCCAGUCGAACGGAAAGGCCCUGCUUGUGUGGGGUGCUCGAGUGGCGAACGGGGGAGUAACACGUGAGUAACCUGCCCUUGACUUUGGGAUAACUUCAGGAAACUGGGGCUAAUACCGGAUAGGAGCUCCUGCUGCAUGGUGGGGGGUGGAAAGUUUCGGCGGUUGGGGAUGGACUCGCGGCUUAUCAGCUUGUUGGUGGGGUAGUGGCUUACCAAGGCUUUGACGGGUAGCCGGCCUGAGAGGGUGACCGGCCACAUUGGGACUGAGAUACGGACCAGACUCCUACGGGAGGCAGCAGUGGGGAAUAUUGCACAAUGGGCGGAAGCCUGAUGAAGAAACGCCGCGUGCGGGAUGACGGCCUUCGGGUUGUAAACCGCUUUCGCCUGUGACGAAGCGUGAGUGACGGUAAUGGGUAAAGAAGCACCGGCUAACUACGUG